AUGGCUGGGGCAUGUUCCACAGGGGGGGAUGCACUGGGACAACCGAUCUCAGUGAUCAUGGGUAGGAGGAGGAGUUACGCUAAGACCAGACCAUGUCAUUACCGAGGAGGCAGGUUUAGUCGUUGUCUGAGGACUAUCCCUGCCUCCAGGUCUGGUCCUGACCGGAAGGAUACUGGAAUCAGCAAGGGAAACCCACAUGACCUGAAAGUGUUGCUGUGCAAUGCCAGGUCAAUGAUGAAUAAAACCACUGCCAUCCACGACCUGAUUGUGGAUGGAGGAUUUGACCUGGCAUGUGUGACAGAGACCUGGUUGGAUGAAGCAGAUGGGCCUGUCCUUGCCGCUGCUUGCCCACCAGGCUUCUCUUACGCACAGCAACCCAGGUCAUGUGGGCGGGCAGGGGGGGUUGCAGUGAUUUUUAGGAAGUCAUUAGUCUGCACCAGGCGUCCUAUUGGGAAGACCCAGUUCUCUGAGUGCAUGUUCUGGAAGUUGGGCAAUAGGGGCAGUACAGGAUUCCUACUGGUGUACCGACCUCCCCGCUGCACCAAGGAUUCCCUGCCCGAGCUGCUUCAGGUCGUGGCGGAUAUGCUCCUGGAGACACCUAGCUUGGUUGUCCUGGGGGAUUUUAACAUCCAUGCCGACACAACCUUACAAGGGGCCGCUCGGGACUUCGUGGAAAGCAUGGCCUCCAUGGGGCUGUCCCUGAAUAAGUUUGGCCCAACUCAUAGCCAUGGACAUGCCUUAGACUUGGUGUUCACCUCUAUGGAUGUUGGUGAUCUGACACUAACUAAAAGCGAAACAAAAGAAGUGCCAUGGUCAGAUCACUUCCUGGUGCAACUGGACUUCUCUGCAACCCUUCCCCUCUGCAGGGAGGUGGGACCGAUUCGGAUGGUCCGCCCCCGCCACUUAAUGGAUCCAAUUGGCUUCCAGAGAGUGGUAGGGGAUGCUUUAUCCCAAGUUGAUGGCCUUUCAGCUGAUUCCCUGGUGGCACGCUGGAAUGCGGAGUUAACCAAGGCUAUUGACUGUCUGGCUCCAAAGCGCCCUCUCCGAUUGCAUGGAGCCCGGACAGCCCCGUGGUUUUCCCCGGAGCUGAGGGUGAUGAAACAAUCGUUGAGACGGCUAGAGCGCCGGUGGCGGAAAACUCAUUCUGAAUCAGACCGGACACGGGUUAGAGCUCAACGUCGAGCCUACCAAGUGGCAAUGGCGACGGCGAAGAGGGACUUCUUCGCCGCCUCCAUUGCAUCUGCAGAAAACAGCAGCAGGAGACUUUUUCAGGUGGUUCGCAAUCUAUUGGAACCACCUGUACCACCGGGGCCUGGUAGGGACCCCAAGAUCUCCUGCAAUGCUUUUGCAAAGUUUUUUGCAGAUAAAAUCGCUCAGAUUCAGAAGGAGGUAGACUCCACCGUGGGAGCAGGGCCAGGGCAGGAGAGUGCUAGAGUUCUGUCUGGUCCUGUUACAUGGGAUCAAUUCCAGUCUGUUACCUCCGAGGAUGUGGACAGGCUGCUUGGAAAAGUGAAACCGACCACCUGUCUCCUUGAUCCUUGCCCAUCCUGGCUGAUAAAAGCGAGCCGGGAAGGGCUGGGCGAUGGGCUCUGCGGGGUGGUGAAUGCUUCCCUCUGUGAGGGAGCCUUCCCAGACCCGCUGAAAGAGGCGGUCAUUAAACCGCUUCUUAAAAAAACAUCUUUAGACCCGGCCAAUUUGGCCAACUAUCGCCCAGUCUUAAAUCUGCCAUUCUUGGGCAAGGUGAUUGAGCGGGUGGUUGCUGAACAACUCCAAGCACGCCUGGAGGAAACGGACCAUUUGGAUCCCUUCCAAUCGGGAUUCAGGUCUCACCAUGGGACUGAAACUGCCUUGGUCGCAUAG
ensembl:lncRNA